AAUAAUCACACCUAAUUGUCGACGUCAACUGGACAGCUAUGAAUGUGGGUAUUAUGUAAUGAAACACAUGCAUACCAUUAUUUGUACAAACAUUAUUGAAUCAUGGAAAGAGAUCUUUAAUAAUUCAUCUCCCAUGGAAGCUGCAGUCAUUGACGACAUUAGAAGGAACUGGGCAUCUUUUAUUUUAAGUAUUAGUAGAAACUUGGCUACAAUUCAAUAGUAUAUGUACAUUUGGAUUUAAUAUAUACUUUUAUGCACAAACGAUGUAUUAAAUAUUAUUAGACUAUUUAAAGUUUGAAA